rnacentral:misc_RNA from 1 species
AAGUCGUAACAAGGUUUCCGUAGGUGAACCUGCGGAAGGAUCAUUACCAAAUCCAAAAAAAUACCCAAACCCCAUGUGAACUAUUGUAUAAGUCUGUCUUUGGGAGAAAAGUUAAGCAUCUAAAUUAAUUUUUUUUAUGAAAAUGUUUUGGAGACUAAGCUUUCUCCCAAAAGAGUCCUGCAUAUCUGUUUGGAUGUGUCUAGGUUCUCUUUUUAAACCACUUAGAUUUAUUUUGUUGGAAUUUUUCUUUUUAUAAAUUCUUAAAUAAAAAGACAACUUUUAACGGCGGAUCUCUUGGCUCGU